rnacentral:miRNA from 1 species
GGGAAAAGGAAGGGGGAGGA